rnacentral:rRNA from 1 species
UACGUAGGGUGCAAGCGUUGUCCGGAAUUAUUGGGCGUAAAGAGCUCGUAGGCGGCUUGUUGCGUCAGCUGUGAAAACCCGCAGCUCAACUGUGGGCUUGCAGCUGAUACGGGCAGGCUUGAGUUCGGUAGGGGAGACUGGAAUUCCUGGUGUAGCGGUGAAAUGCGCAGAUAUCAGGAAGAACACCCGUGGCGAAGGCGGCUCUCUGGGACGGUACUGACGCUGAGACGCGAAAGCGUGGGGAGCGAACAGG